AACGUAGGGUGCAAGCGUUGUCCGGAAUUACUGGGUGUAAAGGGAGCGCAGGCGGACCGGCAAGUUGGAAGUGAAAACUAUGGGCUCAACCCAUAAAUUGCUUUCAAAACUGCUGGCCUUGAGUAGUGCAGAGGUAGAUGGAAUUCCCGGUGUAGCGGUGGAAUGCGUAGAUAUCGGGAGGAACACCAGUGGCGAAGGCGACCUACUGGGCACCAACUGACGCUGAGGCUCGAAAGCAUGGGUAGCAAACAGG
rnacentral:rRNA from 1 species